GCUUAGAGAGUACUUAGCAACAGCCCGUCCACGAGGGAGUAGUGUAGUGUCUACCGAGUCACAGACACCAGUUGUCACAAGCAAUGAGGAUGAAUCCGGGGAACUGGCUUCCCUUAUAGAGGAGGAGGUGGUGAUUAGUGCGAGUGGUGGGGUGCAGGGAGCGAGUAGUGAAAGUGAUGUGACUGGGGCCGAGGCGGCUGCGACCACUGUUGAAGAAGAGGAGGAAAUAGGAGAUGUUUCCAACAUCUCUGUCAUCAUGUCAGAGCCGGUUGGUGAUAACUCGCUGUAUACACUAGACUAGACCAGACUUCUGGAUAGUCAGAUAAAAGCUUGUUUUUUUGAUGAAGUGGCGACAGUUGUGCUGGAAGCGGAGCAGAUUCCCACCAGCUGCAACCUGUUCCAUAAUCAAGAACCCUACAGAUACUCAGCCCUGACACCUCCACACUGCCAGAUUGUAGCAUCUACUCAUCCCAUCUGCUCUGACUCUGGUACCUGUCUCCUCAGUCCUGCUUCCCUGCCCUGGAUCCCCGCUCCACUGCUUCAUUGGAUUCUGCUCCAGACCUGUUUACCUGGUUCCUAAUCUCCUUGCCCCCAGCCUCAGUCCGGAAUCCCUACUACCUGCCAGAGAUUCCCCUGGACUGCACCCCACCCCAUCUCCCCAAUAAAUACAUUGGUUACCUA